rnacentral:rRNA from 1 species
GACGAACGCUGGCGGCGUGCCUAACACAUGCAAGUCGAACGGAGUGUUUAUUUAUAAACACUUAGUGGCGAACGGGUGAGUAACGCGUAGACAACCUACCCUCUAGAUGGGGACAACACCGCGAAAGUGGUGCUAAUACCGAAUGUUGUAAUGUUAUUGCAUAAUGAUAUUACUAAAGGUGGCCUCUAUAUAAAAGCUACCGCUAGAAGAUGGGUCUGCGUCUGAUUAGCUAGUUGGUGAGAUAACAGCUCACCAAGGCAAUGAUCAGUAGCCGGCCUGAGAGGAUGAACGGCCACACUGGGACUGAGACACGGCCCAGACUCCUACGGGAGGCAGCAGUGGGGAAUCUUCCGCAAUGGACGAAAGUCUGACGGAGCAACGCCGCGUGAGUGAAGAAGGUUUUCGGAUCGUAAAGCUCUGUCUUCAAGGACGAAUGUAGAUAUUGUGAAUAAUGAUAUUUAAUGACGGUACUUGAGGAGGAAGCCACGGCUAACUACGUGCCAGCAGCCGCAGUAACAC